CAAAGUAUAGCUAGUAGAUUAGCAUUUCAUUUACAUUGAAAAUAAGUUAUCGUGCAAAUCGGUUUGCUUUGA
rnacentral:tRNA from 1 species